AACUUUUAAAGGCCCGGUAGAUAUUAAGCCAUUGGCCUUAGAAGCCAAACACCU
rnacentral:tRNA from 1 species